GGAUUCCAAUUCCACUUACCAACUUCCUGACUUCAGGAACGGUUCAGGAGCAAGAUUAUUCCAUGAAAGGAGAACUAUUUUCAUAAAAUGGAAAUUGGCAAUUUACCCAUUGAAGUCUGGAAGAAACUCAGAUGUCUACAUUUCCACUGGGAUGAAUUCUGACAGCCAAGAGGAGGGAGUGCUGACAGUAAAAAAAACAACCUCCUGUUGCUGAGCAGGAGAGGAAGACGCCAGGUGGGACACAGACCCCCACAAAGGAAAUUUGAGCAGUCUCCCAGCUUCCUUCGGGAUAGAGAAAAAUAGGAAACCUGGAGAUGAGAAGCAAUGGAGUGAUAGCCCUCAUUCUCUAGAUUGAGGAAAGGUCACACAAGAGAUAAAACUUUCUGCUCCGGCAAUGAAGAAUUUGUAAAUGUUCAAGAGGGAAUGCAGUAUGGCAGUAUGAUCUUUGGAACAAAUUCAGAAGAUAACAACAAAUAACAGGAGAAAAACUUCUACACAUAUAUUUUCCAAGGGCAAUAAAUAGAUGGAAUCUCACUCUAUUGUCCAGGCUGGAGUACAGUGGCAUGAUCUUGGCUCACUUCAAUCUCCACCUCCUGGGUUCAAGCGAUUCUCCUGCCUCAGCCUUCUGAGUAGCUGGAAUUACAGGCAUGCCCCACCACACCUGGCUAGUUUUUGUAUUUUUAGUAGAGAUGGGGUUUCACCAUGUUACCCAGGCCGGUCUCGGACUCCUGACCUCAAGUGAUCCACUCUCCUCAGCCUCCUAAAAUGCUGGGAUUACAGGUGUGAGCCACCGUGCCCGGCCAAUCUCAGCAUUUUUAAUGUGUGGAAGAGUUUGUAUAAAGCAUCACUGUUACAUUGUCUUAGGAAAAGGAGACAUCAUGGAGGAGGGAAGGUGUUCUCAGUCUACGGCCCUACAUCCUGUCUUGAAUGUCUACUCUGACACUGUCUAUGUGACCCCAACGCAAUUUGUUCAAUCUCUUUGGGCUUUCAUUUUCCCCUUUGAAAAUUGGAGAUAAUAACACCUAUCUAACAACGUAAUUGUGAGAAUUAAAAUGCAAUGUAUAUGAAUAAGCCUAUGUAAAGCUAGUCUAAUAUCAGUCACACUCAAGCAACCAUUGUCACAGUGGGUGGG
rnacentral:lncRNA from 10 species